CAGGUCCCAAGUCUUGAUCAACAUCUUCUCACACUGAGAAACCUGUUGGGUUCUCUCACUGUCCCUGCAUCAUCAGAAGAAACACCCACUGUAACAACAUGGACCCAAAGACAGUUGAAACGUGAACAAAAAUUCAGAGCUGCAAUGCCAGAGCUCCUUAAUUUGAAAUUGGCUGCAGAGAUUGUCACUAAACGUUCCUGUCUCCAAUGCAAAACUGCUGAUGCUGUGGUCCGGUGCUUGGACUGUGUUCCACCAGGAACUCCCUUUCUUUGUCCGGCAUGUGACCCAAUUAUCCAUGGCAAAAAUGUCUUCCAUGACAGGGAAGCCAUGAUUGAUGGGUUUUACAGACCUAUUCCUCCCACAUCCUUAGUGGUUGUGGAUGAAAGUGGCCAAUAUGGACUCUGUGAACAAGUGUGUCUGCUUCCAAUUCCUCCACCAUCCCAAAUCUGCUUUUGUGGUCCAAGCCAAGGUUUCACC